AGAGUGCGCGACGGACGGUUGACGUUUGCCGAGAAUCUCCAGCCGAAAAAAGACACGUCUCUCUCGCUACCAGGCACACUAUUUUAGAAAGCGUGCCGA
ensembl:ncRNA F44A6.7 ncRNA